rnacentral:tRNA from 1 species
GGAGGGGUGGCUGAGUGGUCGAAAGCACCGGUCUUGAAAACCGGCAGGGCCUUACCCGCCCUCGCGGGUUCGAAUCCCGCCCCCUCCG